CUUGCUAGAGCUUCCGAGGCAAGACAUCGCCACAAUAACAAUAUGGCCUUUCUUCAACAGUCUUGCAUCCAGAGAAGUUAUCAAAAUGGGUGUAGCAGAGUCUUUCAGUGCCUCUCACAGUAAGAACAGAAGAAGCCCAUGCUAGUCUUUCAACCAAAGAAACAGUACACCAGGUGACAUUUCGUAUAAAAAAGGAUCUCAGUAAAUAACCAGAACUGUAGAGAAGAAAGAGUUUCCUUGAGACUGGAGUGUAACAUCUACAAAGUGUGUGCUUGUGCUGGUGUCUACACCUGCUUGUCUAAACGCAUUUGUGUAUGUGCUGCUUGUAAAAGAAGAGAGGAGUUAUAAAAAAAUGGCAGUGCCUACUUUCUGCAGUAUAGAAGUGAUAAUCAGAAAAGGUCCUUAUUCACCUGGAUGACUCAAAGAAGACAGUUCUUCAGAUUCUUCCUGGAGGCUGAGCUGAUCCUGUUCUUGUAAGAUCCAUUUAACGCAUGGAGUAGCUUUCAGAGAGUGACAGCCCCUCACAAGCAGUAAUAAGCCUAAUCUGAAGAAAGACAAGCUGCUUGCUAAUGGAAACAUUAACAAUGAUUCAAUUGCUUUUGUAGUUGAAAACAAUUGUAUUGAAUAAUUAAAUGAUAAUUUAUUCUUUUUUAUUUUGAAGGCAUUCCUCUCGCUCUUUGGCUUGUUCUGUUAUGUUGUUUUUGAUUUUCCUGUGUUUGAUCUUAUGUUUUCUAUAAGAAGAAUAUACACUGAAGUACUUUUAAAAUGUAAUAGAUAAAUGAAUUUGUUGCCUGAGGUCUUGUGAAAGGCUUUGCAAUUAUAUGAGUAAAUCUUUUGUCAUAAAUAAUUCAGUCAGUAUUAAUUAAAAAUUCUUGGUUAGUAAUCAGUGGGUUCCAUAUCUUCUGUUUAUUAGUUUUCUCUUUAUUAUAAUAGUUUCUCGUAAGUUAUUGUCAUUAAAGGAACUUUCUAAAUAUAUUACAGAGGAAUCCUGUGACGGUCAGAGAAAGUGACUGAAAAAACAUUACUGUCAAUAAAAGGUUUAUCCUGUUUCUGUUCUUUUCUUAC
ensembl:lncRNA